rnacentral:rRNA from 1 species
AAACCAACCGGGAUUGCCUUAGUAACGGCGAGUGAAGCGGCAAAAGCUCAAAUUUGAAAUCUGGUACCUUCGGUGCCCGAGUUGUAAUUUGGAGAGGGCAACUUUGGGGCCGUUCCUUGUCUAUGUUCCUUGGAACAGGACGUCAUAGAGGGUGAGAAUCCCGUGUGGCGAGGAGUG